rnacentral:rRNA from 1 species
AUACGAAGGGAGCAAGCGUUGUUCGGAAUUACUGGGCGUAAAGAGCGCGUAGGCGGUUUGAUAAGUUGGGCGUGAAAUCCCUGGGCUUAACCCGGGAAUGGCGUUCAAAACUAUUAGACUAGAGUACAGAAGAGGAUGGUGGAACUCCCAGUGUAGAGGUGGAAUUCGUAGAUAUUGGGAAGAACACCAGUGGCGAAGGCGGCCAUCUGGUCUGUAACUGACGCUGAGGCGCGAAAGCGUGGGGAGCAAACAGGAUUAGAUACCCUGGUAGUCCACGCCGUAAACGAUGAAAACUAGACGUUGGGCUGUACACAUCUCAGUGUUGAAGCUAACGCAUGAAGUUUUCCGCCUGGGGAGUACGGCCGCAAGGUUAAA